UAUUACAGGGACCCCCAAUCCCCUGGAGAAAAGUGCCUUGCUCAGGUAGUUGCAAACCAGCAACCUUCUGCUUACCAGUUCAGCGGUUUAGCCCACUACAAAAGUAAUAGAGCUACAACAAAAAUUAACAUGUAGUCGAGCAGACACGGUGAUAGCCAGAUUGUCCCGCACAUGGUCUCCUGCUCUUGCCUCAAGGUUGUGGGGUUCAGUGGUGUGUCUUCAUGGUCUUUCUCAUCGUCUGGCUCAACAACAUCUCCAUUGAGAAGAGUGAGAUUGUGAAGCACAGCACAGCAGCAGAAUUGGCACAGCUGCAUUGAGAUGGCAAUAGGAUGUGGGGUUCACCAACUGUAAAUACAUGAUUGUUAGAUCAAUAAGUUUGAAUAAAGCUGUUUCAUCUGUUGUU